GAUGAAGAACGCAGCGAAAUGCGAUACGUAAUGUGAAUUGCAGAAUUCAGUGAAUCAUCGAAUCUUUGAACGCAUAUUGCGCUCUUUGGUAUUCCGAAGAGCAUGCUUGUUUGAGUAUCAGUAAACACCUCAACCUCUUCUUGAUUUUUCAAAAGGAGGGUGGACUUGAGCUAUCCCAACAACCUUCACCGGUCGGCGGGCGGCUUGAAAUGCAGGUGCAGCUGGACUUUUAUCUGAGCUAAAAGCAUAUCUAUUUAGUCCUCGUCAAACAGGAUUAUUACUUUUGCUGCAGCUAACAUAAAGGAUAAUUGUCCUCUUUGCUGACUGAUGCAGGAUUUUACGACACUUUAUGUGUUGUUCAACUCGAUCUCAAAUCAAGUAAGACUACCCGCUGAACUUAAGCAUAUCAAUAAGCGGAGGA
rnacentral:misc_RNA from 1 species